UACGAGUGCGUCGAGCGUUAUCCGGAAUCAUUGGGCGUAAAGGGCUCGUAGGUGGCCAACUAAGUCAGACGUGAAAUCCCUCAGCUUAACUGGGGAACUGCGUCUGAUACUGGAUGGCUUGAGUUUGGGAGAGGGAUGCGGAAUUCCAGGUGUAGCGGUGAAAUGCGUAGAUAUCUGGAGGAACACCGGUGGCGAAGGCGGCAUCCUGGACCAACACUGACACUGAGGAGCGAAAGCCAGGGGAGCAAACGGG
rnacentral:rRNA from 1 species